AGGACGAACGCUGGCGGCAGGCCUAACACAUGCAAGUCGAGCGCCCGUAGCAAUACGGGAGCGGCAGACGGGAUAGUAACACGUGGGAACGCGCCCUUCGGUUCGGAAUAACUCAGGGAAACUUGAGCUAAUACCGGAUACGCCCUUACGGGGAAAGAUUUAUUGCCGAAGGAACGGCCCGCGUCCGAUUAGCUAGUUGGUGAGGUAAUGGCUCACCAAGGCGACGAUCGGUAGCUGGUCUGAGAGGAUGACCAGCAUCACUGGGACUGAGACACGGCCCAGACUCCUACGGGAGGCAGCAGUGGGGAAUAUUGGACAAUGGGCGCAAGCCUGAUCCAGCCAUGCCGCGUGGAUGAUGAAGGCCUUAGGGUUGUAAAGUCCUUUUAACGGGGAAGAUAAUGACGGUACCCGUAGAAUAAGCCCGGCUAACUUCGCGCCAGCAGCCGC
rnacentral:rRNA from 1 species